CCCUCACUUCUCCACUUUUCUCUCUGAAAAAAUUCUCACUUUUUUUCUCACACUUUCCCGGAUAACCCAAUCCAUCCCAUCUUCAAAAGCAGAAAAUUUUCCCUCAAGAAAGUGGUUUUCCCUACCACAAAAACAGACGUAUUCAAUUCAAGAAACGGGUUCAAAGAUUUUUCCCAGAAAAUCUGAUCCUCUCUCUUCAAAUGGGUUUUUAAUUUUGAAAUACUUAAUUUCUUAAUUUUAAUUUAAUUAAAAAAAAAAAUUUCUUCUGUUUUUGCAGACUACUGACGGUGAUGAGGAAGUUAUGUACAAAGUUUCCAAUCUCUCAAAUCAAGAAAAGGGUCUGAAGAUUUUCUCUGGUACUGGGAUACAAGGCAGUCAAAUCCAGUGCAUACUCCCUAACCGCUUUUAUUCUUUUACAAUGCGGCAUCCCCUGAUGGUUGUUGGCACUGCAGAUCGCAAUCUGAUAGUUUUCAACUUGCAGAACCCUCUGGAAAAACCCAAUUGGUCUGUAGCUACUAAGAGAGAUGCUUACAAGUGCUGGAGCAAGAGAAAUGAUUUCUAUGCAGUAUAGAGACCUUUUUGUAUCAACACCCUAAAAGGUUACAGCAUUUUUUUUUUUCAUAACCACCAGAAGUUGGAUGCGGAAUUUUAAUCUUAUGAACAUGACUCCUUACAUAUUAUUUGCGGAUGCUAGCAGCACGACUCACAAGUGCUUCCUCAUUUCUUGUUGCUAAGGAUUCUCCUACUGAGUUCAAGAGACUCACUUCACCUCUAAAGUACCAGACAAGAUGUGUUGCUGCCUUUCCAGAUCAGCAAGGUUUGUUGUUGAUAGAUCGGAUCCAAGAAAGGCAAUUUCCUUGUUAUGGUCUGCCAUAAAUGCUGGGGACCUGGUUGAUAGUGCCUUGAAAGACAUGGCAGUUGUGAUGAAACAAUUGGAUCAAUUUGAUGAGGCAAUUGAGGCUAUCAAAUCUUUUUGUCAUCUCUGCCCUUUUGAUUCUUAGGAAUCUCUUGGCAAUGUGUUAGUUGAACUCUACAAGCUAGUUACAUAUAUUGGGGCAACAACAACAAGAAAGUUGGAGUGUGGCAAGUAUAAAUGAUAUUACAGGACUAAAUUUGCAGACAAGAACUUUUACCUUCGAAAAAAAUAAAAGCAGCCACUUAUGAUUACUAUUCUGCCAACAAAAUUUGAUAAGGUGAUUUUGGUCCUGUGUACAAGGUAUUACUCGUUUAGCAAAUGUUUAGCAAAAAAAAAAAAAAAAAAGGUAUUACUCUUACAUGGCUGAUCCCAUUGAGUAUUGAUUUUCCUGCUUAUCCGAUAAGGUUCGGUGCAGGGUGAACUACCUGAUGGUACUGUCAUAGCAGUUAAGCAACUCUCAUCUAAAUCAAAGCAAGGAAAUCGUGAAUUUUUAAAUGAAAUAGGCAUGAUUUCUUGUUUGCAACACCCAAAUCUGGUGAAGCUUUAUGGAUGUUGUAUUGAAGGGGAGCAAUUAUUGUUAGUCUACGAGUACAUGGAAAACAAUAACUUAGCCCAUGUAUUAUUUGGUCUAGAAAUCAAUCAGCUUAAACUAGACUGGCCUACAAGGCUUAAGAUAUGUAUUGGGAUAGCAAGGGCCUUAGCUUUUUACCAUGAAGAAUCAAGACUCAAGAUUGUUCACAGAGACAUCAAAGCUACUAAUGUGUUGCUAGAUGGAGACUUAAAUCCUAAAAUAUCUGACUUUGGAUUGGCUAAACUUGAUUAAGAGGAGAAGACUGACAUUAGCACCAAGUGGAUAUAUGGCACCAGAAUAUGUAUUAUGGGGUUAUCUGACCUACAAAAUAGAUGUUUAUAAGUUUUGGAGUUGUGUGGCCUUAGAAGCUCUCAGUGGAGAGAGCAACAAUAAUUAUAUGCCAAGUGACAUUUGUGUUUGCCUUUUAGAUCUGUCUUGCCAUUUGCAACAAAGGGGGAACUUGAUGAAGCUAAUUGAUGAGAGCUUGGGGUCUGAGGUCAACAUA